rnacentral:rRNA from 1 species
CAGCAGCCGCGGUAACACGUAGGUGGCAAGCGUUGUCCGGAAUUAUUGGGCGUAAAGGGCUCGCAGGCGGUUUCUUAAGUCUGAUGUGAAAGCCCCCGGCUCAACCGGGGAGGGUCAUUGGAAACUGGGAAACUUGAGUGCAGAAGAGGAGAGUGGAAUUCCACGUGUGGCGGUGAAAUGCGUAGAGAUGUGGAGGAACACCAGUGGCGAAGGCGACUCUCUGGUCUGUAACUGACGCUCAUGCACGAAAGCGUGGGGAGCAAACAGGAUUAGAUACCCGUGUAGUCCCUGUCUCUUAUAC